rnacentral:rRNA from 1 species
ACGAACGCUGGCGGCGUGCUUAAUACAUGCAAGUCAACUUGACUUUAGAUAGCAAUAUCGAAAGUAGGGUGGCGCACGGGUGCGUAACGCGUAGGUAAUCUGCCCUGAGGUCUGACAUAACCCGUCGAAAGGCGGGCUAACAUCAGAUGAUAUAUAAUCACGACAUCGUGGAAAUAUCAAAUCUUCGGAGCCUUGGGAUGAGCCUGCGUCUGAUUAGGUAGUUGGCGGAGUAAUAGCCCACCAAGCCUACGAUCAGUAGCUGGUCUGAGAGGAUGAUCAGCCACACUGGAACUGAGACACGGUCCAGACUCCUACGGGAGGCAGCAGUAAGGAAUAUUGCUCAAUGGGGGGAAACCCUGAAGCAGCAACGCCGCGUGAAGGAUGAAAUACUUUGUAUGUAAACUUCUGUAAGAUGGGAAAAAUAUUCUCCUCGGGAGAAUUGAUUGUACCAUCAGAGUAAGCCCCGGCUAACUACGUG